UAGGGAAUCUUCGGCAAUGGACGAAAGUCUGACCGAGCAACGCCGCGUGAGUGAAGAAGGUUUUCGGAUCGUAAAACUCUGUUGUUAGAGAAGAACAAGGACGUUAGUAACUGAACGUCCCCUGACGGUAUCUAACCAGAAAGCCACGGCUAACUACGUGCCAGCAGCCGCGGUAAUACGUAGGUGGCAAGCGUUGUCCGGAUUUAUUGGGCGUAAAGCGAGCGCGGCGGUUUCUUAAGUCUGAUGUGAAAGCCCCCGGCUCAACCGGGGAGGGUCAUUGGAAACUGGGAGACUUGAGUGCAGAAGAGGAGAGUGGAAUUCCAUGUGUAGCGGUGAAAUGCGUAGAUAUAUGGAGGAACACCAGUGGCGAAGGCGGCUCUCUGGUCUGUAACUGACGCUGAGGCUCGAAAGCGUGGGGAGCAAACAGG
rnacentral:rRNA from 1 species